rnacentral:rRNA from 1 species
GCAGUCGAGGGGCAUCGGGGAGCGAAGCUUGCUUUGCUCCGCCGGCGACCGGCGCACGGGUGAGUAACGCGUAUGCAACCUGCCCGUUUCAGCGGGAUAACCCGGAGAAAUCCGGCCUAAUACCGCAUGUGGCCGAGGGAAGGCAUCUUCUUUCGGCCAAAGGAGGCGACUCCGGAGACGGAUGGGCAUGCGUGACAUUAGCUUGUUGGCGGGGUAACGGCCCACCAAGGCGACGAUGUCUAGGGGUUCUGAGAGGAAGGUCCCCCACACUGGUACUGAGACACGGACCAGACUCCUACGGGAGGCAGCAGUGAGGAAUAUUGGUCAAUGGGCGAGAGCCUGAACCAGCCAAGUCGCGUGAAGGAUGACGGCCCUACGGGUUGUAAACCUCUUUUGUCAGGGAGCAAAGGGCGCCACGUGUGGCGUUUUGCGAGUACCUGAAGAAAAAGCAUCGGCUAACUCCGUGCCAGCAGCCGCGGUAAUACGGAGGAUGCGAGCGUUAUCCGGAUUUAUUGGGUUUAAAGGGUGCGCAGGCGGAAUGUCAAGUCAGCGGUAAAAUUUCGGGGCUCAACCCCGUCGUGCCGUUGAAACUGGCGUUCUUGAGUGAGCGAGAAGUAUGCGGAAUGCGUGGUGUAGCGGUGAAAUGCAUAGAUAUCACGCAGAACUCCGAUUGCGAAGGCAGCAUACCGGCGCUCAACUGACGCUCAUGCACGAAAGCGUGGGUAUCGAACAGGAUUAGAUACCCUGGUAGUCCACGCAGUAAACGAUGAAUACUAACUGUC